UCCAGGGUAGCUCAACGCCAGAGCGCUCGGCUGCUUACCGAGAGGGAGCUGGUUCAACUCCAGCCCCUGGAU
rnacentral:tRNA from 1 species